CAUCAUGGCAGCACCCCGCUUUUGGAUUUACCCAUAAACAUGAUCAGUGCAUUUCCCAUCGAUUACAUGCACCAGGCAUGCUUGGGUGUAAUGAAGAGGCUUCUCUUCAUGUGGUGCAGAGGAGUGAAGGGCCUGAAGAUGUCGGCAACCCAAAUAGAGGAGGUCAGCAGCAGGCUCACCAACCUCCGUCCACACAUCCCUUCCAGCUUCGCUCUUAAACCGAGAGAUCUUAAAGAGCUUGAGAGAUGGAAGGCAACGGAACAUAGGCAGUUUAUGUUAUAUACAGGAAAGAUUGUGCUGAAGGGGGUCCUUAAAGAUGAAUUUUUCAGCCACUUCAUGACAUUCAGUGUGGCAAUGAACAUACUUGUAAGUCCAGCAUUGGUCGAGCAACACUGGAGAUAUGCUGCUGAUCUCCUCCGAUUCUUUGUUGAGAGAGGCUGAGAACUUUAUGGUAACCAGUUUCUGGUCUACAACGUGCACUCAAUGUUGCACAUUGUGGAGGAUGCCGUGACCUUUGGAGGAUUGGACAAUUGUAGCGCUUUUAAAUUUGUAAAUUGUCUCAAGAAAAUAAAGAGGAUGGUAAGGAGUGGAAGAUGCCCCCUGUCACAAGUGGUGAAAAGGCUUGAGGAAUGCGCUGGACAGCCAAUGGAGCAUGGUAGGCAGAGGUCCAAUUCUUCUUUUAUUUUGAAUCGCCGCGAAUGCUGCGAGGUCAUAGAGGAGAGGGACGGAAGCCAGCUUUGCCGUGUAUACCAGCACCCAGAACCACUUUUCAGUGUCCCUUGUGACUCCACAUUAAUCGGAGUACUGAAGUACAAGAACAAUGACACCGUUUUGAGAUGGAUCCAAAAUGACAACCUGAAAAGAAAGGCAAUCAAGAUUCCUGUGGGGGAAAAAAUCCUCUUCAUGGCCAUUCUUCAUGACAUUGCAAAUGUAUAGCAUCGUCAAAUUUUUGGGGGAAAGGACUGUUGGCAUAGUGGCCAGUAAUUGGAUUAUAAAAGAGGGAGAUAAGACAUGCAGCUACUGGCCACUCCACAAGCCCACACAGAGGGCAAAGGACAAAGAUUUGCCCGAUCCUAAAACCUGGCUAAAAAGGCCAAUAAAAAUAUUUGUGUGUUAAUGUGUGUUAAUGGGCGACAAAUAAAUAAGUGGUGACAUGCAACACAUUUAAAAGAGUGUAAUUUCUAAUUGUUUUGGCCCACCUGACUGUUUAGAUGAUUGGGAUCAGGCCGUCAGGAGGAACAAGAGGGCGGAGACAAAGUCCUGUGUGGAGACAGGAAAUGAGGACAUAGGGAGGCGCAUCAUAGUCAAACCCCAAAAAUGUGAAAAGAGAACAAAGAAACGAAAUGGGAAAAAGGCAGGACAAGGUCCACAUUUCAGGACUUCCCUUCCUCCUCCACCCCAGAUAGAAUCCCCCAUUCCACGGCGUAGCGCACUACAAAUAUCUUCACCCCCUGUGACUGAUGACGAUUACUCCCCUCCUUCACCGGCAAGAGACGUUUUUACAGAAAAUGAUGAUGAUUCGAUUGCGUCUUCAUUUGAAACGCCAUUGCCUAUCUCUACUGGGGACGGUAAAGUGGCGGGUGGAGAGGGUGGUUAAAACCAAACUAGUAACUCUUAUCAACAGGUUAUGACAGUCAUCUGUCUAUACUAACCCUACACAUUAUGCUUUAUACACAUUACUUAGGUGACCGAAGAGAGAGAGAAACCAUACCAAUCUGGGCAAAGGAAUAUCAACGCGACAUUGGAGGUUCUGCUCCUGUUGGGCAAAAUAACCUGCUGAGUACAUCACAUGUACAUUAUAAAUAUAGCUAACUCCUACCCUAGCUUAAUGAGCACAUCACAUGGCAGUCACCUUAUAAUAUAGUCAACUUUUAACACAUAACACAUACAUGAGAAUAUAGUCAGGUCAGGGCCGGAGCCAGGGCCCCAUUUCUCC
ensembl:lncRNA